rnacentral:lncRNA from 1 species
GGUGCGCCAAGUCUGUUCGCCGCCGGGGUCUAUCACCCCCGCCCCUCGCCUCUGCCCGUGAGCGUGUGAGUUGUAGCGUACCCUGGGGUCUGUUCUGGAGGAGGCCUGAGAGCGGGGUUGCCUGGGGCGUGGGUCUCUCAUCCCUCUCGUCCUGGUGAAGAAGAAGAGUAUACCCAGCGGCUGGCUUGGCUUUUUCAGAGGAAACAGAGACUCUCAGACAUGAAUACUGUGACACUGACCACCAGGCCAACUUAACAUCAGCAGAUAUCCUGUCUCAGAUGAAGAGAUGGAGUCUCGCACUGUCGCCCCAGUUGGAGUGUAAUGGUGCGAUCUCGGCUCACUGCAAGCUCCGCCUCCCGGGUUCAUGCCAUUCUCCUGCCUCAGCCUCCUGAGUAGCUGGAACUACAGAAUGGCCUGUCCAGAAGACAGCCAAAUACAUCCUUCAAACAGACUUCACUGCAGGAGACAGAGUGGAUUCAUCCUGUAUUCUCCAUGUAGACUUCCAUCUUCAUGAGUACUCCAAGAAGAUGGUUCAGUUGACUAUUGCAAAGUCUCAGGUAUGUCUUUAUCAGCAGCAUGAAAAUGGACUAAUAGUACCAGUAGAGUGGGGCAUUGCUGAAAAGAUACCCGAAAAUGUGGAAGCAACUUUGGAACUGGGUGUUGAAAUAAUCUGGAGGGCUCAGAAGAAGAUAGGAAAAUGUAGGAAAGUUUGGAACCUCCUAGAGACUGUGAAUGGCAUUGACAAAAAUACUGAUAGUGAUAUGAACAAUAAGGUCCAGGCUGAGGUGGUCUCAGAUGGAGAUGAAGACCUUGUUGGGAACUGAAGUAAAGGUGACCCUUGUUAUGUUUUAGCAAGGAGACUGGCAGCAUUUCACCCUUGCCCUAGAGAUUUGUGGAACUUAGAGCUUGAGAGAGAUGACUUAGGGUAUCUGGUGGAAUAAAUUUCUAAGCAGCAAAGCAUUCAAAAGGUGACUUGGGUGCUGUUAAAAACAUUCUGUUUUAAAAGGGAAACAAGAGCAUAAAUGUGGAAAAUCUGCAGCCUGAUGAUGCAGUAGAAAAGAAAAACCCAUUUUUUUUAAGGAGAAAUUCAAGCUGGCUGCAGAAAUUUGCAUAAGCAGCAAGGAGCCUAAUGUUAAUCCCCAAGACCAUGGGGAAAAUGUCUCCAGGUCAUGUCAGAGACCUUCAUGGCAGCCCCUCCCAUCACAGGCCCAGAGGCCCAGGAGGAAAAAGUGGUUUUGUGGGCUGGGCCCAGGGUCUCUGUGCUGUGUGCAGCCUAGGGACUUGGUGCCCUGUGUCCCAGCUGCUCCAGCCAUGGCUGAAAGGAGCCAACAUAGAGCUUGGGCUGUGGCUUCAGAGGGUAGAGGCCCCAAGCAUUGGCAGCUUCCAUGUGAUGUUGAGCCUGUGGGUGCAGAGAUGUCAAGAAUUGAGAUUUGGGAACCUCUGCCUAGAUUUCAGAAUAUAUAUGGAAACACCUGGAUGUCCAGGCAAAAGUUUGCUGCAGGGGCAGAGCCCUCAUGGGGAACCUCUCCUAGGGCAGUGUGGAAGGGAAAUGUGGGGCAGAGCCCCCACACAGAGUCCCUGUUGGGGCACUGCCUAGUGGAGCUGUGAGAAGAAGGCCACAGUCCCAGAACGGUAGACCCCAGAAUGGUAGACCCCAGAAUGGUAGAUCAACCACCAACUUGCAUCUUGUGCCUGGAAAAGCUACAGACACUCAACAUCAGCCUGAGAAAGCAGCCAGGAGGGAGGCUGUACUCUGCAAAGCCACAGGGGCGGAGCUGCACAAGACCAUGGGAACCUAUCUCUUGCAUCAGCAUGACCUGAAUGUGAGACAUGGAGUCAAAGGAGAUCAUUAUGGAGCUUUAAAAUUUGACUGCCCCACUGGAUUUCAGACUUGCAUGGACCCUGUAACCCCUUUGUUUUGGCCAAUUUCUCUCAUUUGGAACAGCUGUAUUUACCCAAUACCUGUACCCCCCAUUGUAUCUAGGAGGUAACUAGCUUGCUUUUACAGGCUUGUAAGUGGAAGGGACUUGCCUUGUCUCAGAUGAGACUUUGGACUGUGGACUUUUGGGUUAAUGCUGAAAUGAGUUAAGACUUUGGGGAACUGUUGGGAAGGAAUGAUUGGUUUUGAAAUGUGAGGAUUAUGAAAUUUGGAGGAGCCCAGGGAGGAAUGAUAUGGUUUGGCUGUGUCCCCACCCAAAUCUCAACUUGAAUUGUAUCUCCCAGAAUUCCCACAUGUUGUGGGAGGGACGCAGUGGGAGGUAAUUGAAUCAUGGAGGCCAGUCUUUUCUGUGCUAUUCUCGUGAUAAUAAGUCCCACAAGAUCUGGUGGGUUUAUGAAGAGUUUCUGCUUUUGCUUCUUCCUCAUUUUGCUCUUGAUGCCACCACGUAAGAAGUACCUUUUGCCUCCCACCUGAUUUUGAGGCCUCCCCAGCCAUGUGGAACUGUAAGUCCAAUUAAA